UACAGGGGGGGCAAGCGUUGUUCGGAAUUACUGGGCGUAAAGGGUUUGUAGGUGGCUUGCUAAGUCAGACGUGAAAUCCCUCAGCUUAACUGGGGAACUGCGUCUGAUACUGGCGAGCUUGAGUGCAGGAGAGGAACGCGGAAUUCCAGGUGUAGCGGUGAAAUGCGUAGAUAUCUGGAGGAACACCGGUGGCGAAGGCGGCGUUCUGGACUGCAACUGACACUGAAGAACGAAAGCCAGGGGAGCAAACGGG
rnacentral:rRNA from 1 species